UCAGUAAGUGCCAAGCCUAACCUCGGUGGAGUAGUGAUGAGGAAGGUCGAGGCCUUAUUGAGAUGAAAAAUAAUAAUAUAAGAAUGAUAAAUAGUAGAUAACGAAGUAAAUCAUGAAUAUCUAGCAAGACAGUAAGUAAAACAGAACGGCUACAAGUACAGACUACGAACACAAGAAAAAUCACUCAAAAGUCAGGAUUCCCCAUGGAGCUC
rnacentral:lncRNA from 1 species